rnacentral:rRNA from 1 species
UUUGUUGGUUUCUAGAGACGCCGCAAUGAUUAACAGGAACAGUCGGGGGCAUCAGUAUUCAGUUGUCAGAGGUGAAAUUCUUGGAUUUACUGAAGACUAACUACUGCGAAAGCAUUUGCCAAGGAUGUUUUCAUUAAUCAGUGAACGAAAGUUAGGGGAUCGAAGACGAUCAGAUACCGUCGUAGUCUUAACCGUAAACUAUGCCGACUAGGGAUCGGGCGAUGUUCUUUUUCUGACUCGCUCGGCACCUUACGAGAAAUCAAAGUUUUUGGGUUCUGGGGGGAUUAUGGUCGCAAGGCUGAAACUUAAAGAAAUUGACGGAAGGUCACCACCAGGCGUGGAGCCUGCGGCUUAAUUUGACUCAACACGGGGAAACUCCCAGGGGUCCAGAA